UAGCGAAGGGGGCUAGCGUUGCUCGGAUUGACUGGGCGUAAAGGGCGCGUAGGCGGUUCGUACAGUCAGACGUGAAAUUCCUGGGCUCAACCUGGGGGCUGCGUUUGAUACGUGCGGACUUGAGUGCGGAAGAGGGUCGUGGAAUUCCCAGUGUAGAGGUGAAAUUCGUAGAUAUUGGGAAGAACACCAGUGGCGAAGGCGGCUCACUGGCUCAUACUGGACGCUGAGGUGCGAAAGCGUGGGGAGCAAACAGG
rnacentral:rRNA from 1 species